AUAUUGCUUUGUGCGACAUGUCACCGAGAAGUCGAAGCAGGCAUAACGCAGCUUCCUGAAGGAAUUCAGGAAUGUAAACGAGGAGAAUUGCUGGAAGUCCUAGUCCGCAAAACGGCGGACGGAUGAUCAGCAGCCGAGUCCCGAGAGAAAUCGAGGGAAAGGUUCAGAGACUAUCCCGCAAGGGAGUAGUUUGCUCUAAGCAAACGAAGCACCUCGCAUCCUAUCCACCAAACAGGCGAAGGAUGAUGAUAUAGUCCACCCCCUUCGGAAAUGUUGGG
rnacentral:ncRNA from 1 species